GUUGUCAAAGGCAACAGUAACCUCUUAUGACAUCAGAGAGAGAACUCCUACACAAACAGCCCCAUCCCUUUAAAUGCUGGGUAAGAGAACAAGCAUGCCACUUCUUUGCCAAGUCACAGGCUGACAAUCAUAUCCCCAGCCCUGACAUGCUUCAGGACGACUUAGAAACAUCAAGCACACGGGAAGAGAAUAGUAACUAUCAAAAACAAAUCAACGGUAGCAUAUUUUAGAUACAGGAUGGAAAAACCGUCUUCCUUCUACUGUAUUGCUUCCUAGUACAGACAGAACCCCCUACCUGACCCACACUAGCUCAGCCAGUACAAAAUUCCCAGACCCAGCUCUGGGAUGUGCAGGCAUGAGGUCCUAGGCCCAUUCCCUAGCACUAAAAAAAGAUUCCAAACCUCACAUCAUUCCAUAGUUCUUGGUCUCUCCUCCUCAGGUCUCAAGCUACAAGGGAAAGGCAAGGAAGGGCUUCUCUUGAGAGAGUCUGUCAAAGUAUUUGAGGCAAAAUUGGAGACCUGGUUGCCUGGAAACCAGAUGAUCUUGAACUUUAGUUGCCUUGGCAACAGUAGGGGACUUUCUAUCGUACCUUUAAGGUUAGCUCCUUUUAUCAGGAGCUAGCAGUAGAAGGCCUGGUUCCAAAUGGAUAUUCUUCAAUCAAUGCUACCACCCUCUAGCAAUAACUUCAUAAAUAUUUAACAGAUGCUUCCCAAUUUGAUGGAAUUGGAAAAUGAGUUUCAGGAUCGGAGGCUAAAGAAGGUAUCACAUGACACCUACAUGGCUUCAACCUGAAAAUGCAUCUCCUGGUUGUUCGGAACUUGUAUUCGGUGUACAUGGAUAUACUACCAAACCAAGAUGUUUUCCAAAGAAGCAAGUUAACUACUUCUGGCAAAGCUAAAGACCUGAUCCCAGUACUGCAGGAGAAUAGUGGCGCUCAAAAUGGAGAGACUUACGGACCUGUGUAAAGUUUUAAAUUACAUUUAUCUAU